rnacentral:rRNA from 2 species
GCCCUAAACAUGCAAGUCGAGCGGUAGCACAGAGAGCUUGCUCUCGGGUGACGAGCGGCGGACGGGUGAGUAAUGUCUGGGAAACUGCCUGAUGGAGGGGGAUAACUACUGGAAACGGUAGCUAAUACCGCAUAACGUCGCAAGACCAAAGUGGGGGACCUUCGGGCCUCAUGCCAUCAGAUGUGCCCAGAUGGGAUUAGCUGGUAGGUGGGGUAACGGCUCACCUAGGCGACGAUCCCUAGCUGGUCUGAGAGGAUGACCAGCCACACUGGAACUGAGACACGGUCCAGACUCCUACGGGAGGCAGCAGUGGGGAAUAUUGCACAAUGGGCGCAAGCCUGAUGCAGCCAUGCCGCGUGUGUGAAGAAGGCCUUCGGGUUGUAAAGCACUUUCAGCGGGGAGGAAGGCGAUAAGGUUAAUAACCUUGUCGAUUGACGUUACCCGCAGAAGAAGCACCGGCUAACUCCGUGCCAGCAGCCGCGGUAAUACGGAGGGUGCAAGCGUUAAUCGGAAUUACUGGGCGUAAAGCGCACGCAGGCGGUCUGUCAAGUCGGAUGUGAAAUCCCCGGGCUCAACCUGGGAACUGCAUUCGAAACUGGCAGGCUAGAGUCUUGUAGAGGGGGGUAGAAUUCCAGGUGUAGCGGUGAAAUGCGUAGAGAUCUGGAGGAAUACCGGUGGCGAAGGCGGCCCCCUGGACAAAGACUGACGCUCAGGUGCGAAAGCGUGGGGAGCAAACAGGAUUAGAUACCCUGGUAGUCCACGCUGUAAACGAUGUCGAUUUGGAGGUUGUGCCCUUGAGGCGUGGCUUCCGGAGCUAACGCGUUAAAUCGACCGCCUGGGGAGUACGGCCGCAAGGUUAAAACUCAAAUGAAUUGACGGGGGCCCGCACAAGCGGUGGAGCAUGUGGUUUAAUUCGAUGCAACGCGAAGAACCUUACCUGGUCUUGACAUCCACAGAACUUUCCAGAGAUGGAUUGGUGCCUUCGGGAACUGUGAGACAGGUGCUGCAUGGCUGUCGUCAGCUCGUGUUGUGAAAUGUUGGGUUAAGUCCCGCAACGAGCGCAACCCUUAUCCUUUGUUGCCAGCGGUCAGGCCGGGAACUCAAAGGAGACUGCCAGUGAUAAACUGGAGGAAGGUGGGGAUGACGUCAAGUCAUCAUGGCCCUUACGACCAGGGCUACACACGUGCUACAAUGGCAUAUACAAAGAGAAGCGACCUCGCGAGAGCAAGCGGACCUCAUAAAGUAUGUCGUAGUCCGGAUUGGAGUCUGCAACUCGACUCCAUGAAGUCGGAAUCGCUAGUAAUCGUAGAUCAGAAUGCUACGGUGAAUACGUUCCCGGGCCUUGUACACACCGCCCGUCACACCAUGGGAGUGGGUUGCAAAAGAAGUAGGUAGCUUAACCUUCGGGAGGGCGCUACCACUU